CCUCUCCUAUAUGGAUUCCCAUAUCUGGCGUGGACCUUUUUGGUAGGCUAUGAUUGUAUAUCCUCCCCGUGAACACAGAGACAUUGAUCUCCAUAUACAGCAUUUUCCCCUUGUUUUUGGCGUACUUUCACACUGAGACAGGACUCUAUCUACAGAUCUUAUUGACUACAUGUAUUUCUCUGACACAAUGAUCGUCUGUAAUACCCCUUGAAGAAGGAUCACAGAUACCGAAACGGCUGUCGGGUUGGACCAAUUUUUGUCUCAUGUCUGUUUUAUUGCUUUACAAAUAGGAUCUGUAUACCACUUGCAUGUGGUUUUUUAUCCUUGCUAGGACACUGUACGAUGUCCUUACUUAAAUUGUUUAAAUAAAUUUGCUAUAUAUUUUUCUACUCA